GGCUGGAGAGACGGCCCCGUGGUUCAGAGAACGGCUGCUCUCCCAGAGCCGGUGAGUUAGGUUCCCAGCACCAACGUUAUUGCCUGUAACUUCAGCUCCCCGUGAUCCAACACUGGCUCCUUGGGCACCUGCUCUUACACGCACAUAACCACCCCUCCCCAAUUAAAAAUAAUAAAAUAGGUGCUGGAGAGAUGGCUCAGCAGUUACGAGCCCUGACUACUCUUCCAGAGGACCUGAGUUCAAUUCCCAGCUCCCACAAGGCAGCUCGCAGUUGUUGGUAACUCCAGUUGCAGGGGAUCCUGUGGUCUCUCCGGACCUCUUCAAGUGUCAGCUUCCAGAGCUUGUGCCCUUGAGGUUUAGGAGAAAGCCCCAGAAGUCCGCUAGACAUUGUGCUCUGAGCCUGCUGCUGACAGCUUACGGCCACCCAUCCGCAGUACCUGCACGAAAGGACGCCCUCCCCCCAGUUCAUGGUCAGCAUUCCAGUUCUGCCAAGGAGUGAAGAAACAGAAAGGAAAUAAAAGCAGGAGCUGAGAUAUAAAGAAAAAUGAAUCUGAAUAAAGAAAGUUGGUGUUACAGGAAGAAGGGCAAGAGCGUGUUCCAGACAUGAAAAUGCCGGGCGGCUGUGCUCAGCAGCAGUGUUUGGGUGGAUGCCGUGUUACUCUUCCUCGGAGUCUGUUUUUGUUCACCUCAGUUAGGGAGGGGAAAACAGAUAAGAAAACUCUCCUCAAAGUCCACCUUCAUGAAUCAGAAGGUUAUUGGAGUUACUUACAAGAACGCAGGUGAGGGGUUCCUUUCCUGAACACGGGUGACGAGGGUAUCCACAUCACCAAAAAGCCCAGUAUGGUCAAAUCCCAGAAGCCGCCUCGAUGGAGUCCCCUGCACGUCAGACAGGCAGCCACACCAGUGAAGUCUCCUUUCCCCAGCAGCUCUUCACUGUUUACAUAAACUCAGGGGCAGGCUCUGGCGUCUGGUGAGUUUACUUAGAGUUUCCUUCGCCCCUGCAGAUCUCUUCCCACUCCUCCACAGGGAGAGGCUUCAGUCUGGUGGGAAGACCAGGCAGCAGCAGCAGUGGUACAAGGAGUUUACAGGGAAAACGAGGAGAAAGUGGGGAUCCGGGCCUCGGAUGUUAGACCCACGAACCUCUGAAUGUCGACGUCAUUUUAAGCUGUAAAAGGUGAUGCCGGAAGUCGGAAAUCAUAUGAAAAACUUCCAGAAUAUGCUGAAAUCCUAAAAACAAUGAAACAAACCCCUGGUUUUUUAGUCUGAAGAUGAUAUUGGAGACCAGACUGGGAUUAUUAAGCCGAACUCUGAGUCUCAUCACUCAGUUGGGACCUUGGCCUUUAACUGUUAAUACAAUUCUAUUUAUCACGGCUAUAACUCAUUGAAGCAGAUAGAUUUAUUUUCAUUCCAAAGGUAUUUGUUAUGUUCUUUGAAAAUGGAAGAGUCCACAUGAUCUUAAGUGACAUGUUAGCACUUUGCCCUUUAUUUGUAAUGGAAUGUGGAAGUAAAGCAUCGUAAUACGCGUGGUUCAAAGGGAGAAGAAGCAUCUUUUCAUCUGUGACUUCCUCAUUUCUCAGACCGUGACAGAAAACUCACAGCCCAUAAAACUGCAGAGAACUGGUGAUUGUGCGGUAGCCAGUCCUGACUGCACCCGGAACAAAGCUGCACCUAAGGCGCAGGGAGCACUGUGGAAGAGGCGGCGGAUGUACCGUAAGAACCAGAGGAACAGAGAGUUUACUGUAAGACUGUGUGUCCUAGACAUGCCAGAGGAGCUACACCCAUGAAGUCUCACCAACACGGCUGCACACACAAGACCUGAAGGAAGACACAAUAGACAUGCUAACCUCUAAGGACCCCAACCCAAGACAAAGAAACGUAGGCAAGUAAAGAAUCCUGAUGGAGGGAGAAGUCGUCUUCCCCGGGGAAGAGCCCCCACAUUGUUUCUCCAGUGCCAAGUGCUCAGUGCUGCAGUCACAUACCUACAAGCGGCAUUCUACGGACCGAGCAGGUUCUUCUAAAAUUUUCAAACCCCAGGUCUGGAGAGAGACUCAGUUGUCAAUAGCACCUGCAGCUCUUGCGGAGAACUUGGGGUUCAGUUCCCAUAACUCACACGGUGGAUCACAAACCAUCUGUCGCUGUAGGUCCAGGAGUCUGAUGCCCUCUACUGGCCUCUCUAAGCAUGUUCAACACUCAUA